GGAAAACAGGAAGAAAUUGAAAGCAUUAAAAAAUGGUAAAAUGAAAGUAAAACUGUCACUAUUGGAAAGUGGUAUGACUGUAUUCCUGAAAAACCCAAGGAUGGAAAUUCCACAACUGGAGAAGUAAUCCAAGAUUACAUGCCACUGUUUCCACCCAGAACCUUGCUCUGGAACCCCAGUAAUUUAUAAAUUUGGCUGCUUUAUGGUGUCCCAUAUGUCAUGGAGGCUUUGCUCAUUCUAUUAUAUCCUUUUAU
rnacentral:lncRNA from 1 species